rnacentral:lncRNA from 10 species
CGGCCGGGCGCUCGCGGCUCUCGGCAUUUCAGAAACGGCUCUCUGCAGAGGAAAUGGUUAGUGGCUGUGGCAGACCCCCUUCUGGUGAAAUCCGAAACAGAAAACCUCACAAAAUUUGGGAUUUUGCUCCUAAUCUGAGAGUCUGGGUGUAGUGGGGAGUGGGGGUUGUUAAACAGUCUGGAGCGGAUUUACAAAGUUUGGGAAAACCAAAAUCAAUCUCUGACUGGGCAGAGAGGUCGGGCAGCCAAUGAGUGAUUCAUUGUGGUUUCCCACGGAAAUGCCACAUUUCGGGGGUGUCUACCUGGAGGAUGCAGCUUGGUGGUUUUGCUGUAAGUGUUUCAGAUUCCUUUGAAACCCAAUCAGACUUUGAAGAGGGAACAACAUGCUCAUGAGCGAAAACAGAAGCCUGAAAUGAACCUGCUGGGAACUGAAAGUUGGGUACCAGCUCGUUUACUCCAAGUAAGGAACAGAUACCAGUUUUAGACCCAGCAUUGUUCCUUUUCUGCAAUUCUCUCUCCGUGGCCAGAAGCAGUAGGACAGCUCUGAGCUGGGCACCAGGAGUCCCAGGGUCCUGCUCCAGGCCCACUGUAGCUGCCGUCCCCUCUGCCUGGAAGAACCCUUGUAUGGCUGUUCUUGGCACGCAGCUCACAGCCCAGAAGUCAGCUCCGCAGAUAGGUUUUCCCCAACCAUGUGAUCUGCUUGUCUCUGGCACCUACACCCCACCUCCACCUCUCCCAAACAUAGCGCAUCCUGUUUGAUUGCUUCAUAGCCCUUGUCACUGUUUAAUGUAGCCUACAUGAUUGGUUGCUUAUUUUUUAUCUGCCCCCCACUCUCCCCACUGCAUGGGUAAACUGCAUUACAGCAGUACCUUUGCCUGUUUCCUUAGAACAGUGCUGGCCCAUAUGAGACCAUCGAUAAACACGUGUUGAAUAAAUGAAAGAAGCAAACAAACUAGAGUUGCAGAUGGGACCUCUGCCUGAGGUAGGGUGGUUCACUCGGUCCCGCAGCUCCCUGUGGCUUCCUCUUUGGUGGAGAGAUUCAAAAGGGAACGCCCAGUGCGGUGGAAGGAGCACCAGAUGGCUCUAUUAGUGCUUCUGGAAAACUAAAACUAUAAGUAGGCCAGGCGCGGUGGCUCACGCCUGUAAUCCCAGCACUUUGGGAGGCCGAGCAGGUAGAUCACCUAAGGUCAGGAGUUUGAGACCAGUCUGGCCAACAUGGUGAAACCCCGUGUCUACUAAAAAUACAAAAAAUUGCCGGGCGUGGUGGUGGGCACCUGUAAUCCCAGCUUCUCCAGAG